AUUGAACGCUGGCGGAAUGCUUUACACAUGCAAGUCGAACGGCAGCACGGACUUCGGUCUGGUGGCGAGUGGCGAACGGGUGAGUAAUGUAUCGGAACGUGCCCAGUCGUGGGGGAUAACGUAGUGAAAAUUACGCUAAUACCGCAUACGAUCUAUGGAUGAAAGCGGGGGAUCGCAAGACCUCGCGCGAUUGGAGCGGCCGAUAUCAGAUUAGGUAGUUGGUGGGGUAAAGGCCCACCAAGCCAACGAUCUGUAGCUGGACUGAGAGGACGACCAGCCACACUGGAACUGAGACACGGUCCAGACUCCUACGGGAGGCAGCAGUGGGGAAUUUUGGACAAUGGGCGAAAGCCUGAUCCAGCCAUUCCGCGUGCAGGAUGAAGGCCCUCGGGUUGUAAACUGCUUUUGUACAGAACGAAAAGGCUUCUACUAAUACUAGGAGCUCAUGACGGUACUGUAAGAAUAAGCACCGGCUAACUACGUGCCAGCCGCCGCGGUAA
rnacentral:rRNA from 1 species